AGAGCCACGCCCCAACCAGAGCCACACCGCAACCAGAGCCACGCCCCAACCAGAGCCACGCCCCAACCAAGCCACGCUCCAACCAAGCCCCGCCUCAACAAAGCCACGACCCAACAAAGCCCCACAGCAUGGCCCCACCCCUGACGCACAGCCGCAUGCACAUGCGCAGGAUGGCCUCGCUCCUGCUGAGCUACGUGAUUUCCCCCAGCAUAGAGGUCACUGCCAUCUUUGCCACCCUCCCGGAAGGCAUAGCCGCCGUCCUCGCCACCUCCCCGCGGUGCUCAGGGUUAGUCUUGGUCCUGCCAUCCUGACCACCUGGGCCUCCACAGCGCCCCUAGUGGCCAUCAUGGACUGCUUCCCCUGGAGCAGCGAGGAGAGCCACAGGACGAGCCAAGAGAGGUAAAGGUCAACUGGCGGCCUGCACCCAGCCCUUUCUCACCGGAGGACAAUCAGACGCUCCAGGGAGAUGAGUUGAAGCAGGAUUUCAUUUACUGAGGAAGCACACACACAGCUUAUAUACUGCACAGGAGCCAAUCAGCAUAAAGGUCAGAGGGUGGAUCAAGUUCACGUGUACACCCACCCCAUAGUCUGUAAGGGAAGGCACGAGCUCUCCAUGAGGGUGGGAGAGUCCCAGACCUAUCCUGGAGGUGGUCGGCCUCUUCUGUCACCACCCACAGCACCGCCUCCUGGCUGAUCACCUGGCGCCAUGCCAGCCCCAUGUGUGGCCCCAAGACCGGGAAGGGCAGCAAGUCAUGCCCUACACCAUGGUACAGUAGCUUUCAGGUCAAGAAAUAGAAUAUUGCCAGUUCUUCAGAAGCACUGUCUCAUCCCAUCUAUAUGUUUUUAUUUAUUGAUUGUAUUUUUUUAAAUACUCUAUCAAAGUUAAUUUUGUUUAUUCUGACUAUUUUCUGUUAUCUAAGGCAUAUAUUUCAUUAACCAAGGCAUAUUUCAUUAUCUAAGGUAUAUUUGGGGGCUUGUCAUUUCCCACACAUGACAGAUGUCAGGUUUCAGAUGUUGAUUAAAGUUUAAAAUUUUAAUAAAGGCUUAGACACAUG